GAAGAAGAAAAAAAGAUUACAAGUAGAGUACUCCUAUCUAGUAAGCGAAAAUAACAGGAAAAUAAAUUGGUCUUCUUAUACUUGGAGAAAAAGACCCUUCUGUAUAGAUGUCUUCUGUUUAUUUAUAGUCCCACCCGUUAUUUAUUUAGUUAUUCCCCACUAUCGGCCACAUCUCUAAUUCUGCGGACUACUCUCGGCUAAUCUUAAUUGCAUCGAUUUUAACCACUUUUU
rnacentral:lncRNA from 1 species